GCGGGGGCAACCCUGGCGGCGAGCGGCGGACGGGUGAGUAAUACAUCGGAACGUGUCCUUUCGUGGGGGAUAACCAGUCGAAAGACUGGCUAAUACCGCAUGAGAUCUCACGAUGAAAGCGGGGGACCGCAAGGCCUCGCGCGAUUGGAGCGGCCGAUGUCGGAUUAGCUAGUUGGCGGGGUAAGAGCCCACCAAGGCGACGAUCCGUAGCUGGUUUGAGAGAACGACCAGCCACACUGGACUGAGACACGGCCCAGACUCCUACGGGAGGCAGCAGUGGGGAAUUUUGGACAAUGGGCGCAAGCCUGAUCCAGCCAUGCCGCGUGUGUGAAGAAGGCCUUCGGGUUGUAAAGCACUUUCGGCCGGAACGAAAUCGCCUUUGUUAAUAGCGAAGGUGGAUGACGGUACCGGAAGAAGAAGCACCGGCUAACUACGUGCCAGCAGCCGCGGUAAUACGUAGGGUGCGAGCGUUAAUCGGAAUUACUGGGCGUAAAGCGUGCGCAGGCGGUUCGCCAAGUCUGAUGUGAAAGCCCCGGGCUCAACCUGGGAAUGGCAUUGGAAACUGGCGGGCUGGAGUGUGGCAGAGGGGGGUGGAAUUCCGCGUGUAGCAGUGAAAUGCGUAGAGAUGCGGAGGAACACCGAUGGCGAAGGCAGCCCCCUGGGCUGACACUGACGCUCAGGCACGAAAGCGUGGGGAGCAAACAGGAUUAGAUACCCUGGUAGUCCACGCCCUAAACGAUGUCAACUAGGUGUUGGGGGAGCAAUUUCUCAGUACCGUAGCUAAC
rnacentral:rRNA from 1 species